CCGUGACCGGAAAUCUCAGAAGGGCUGACGUGGCCAGAGAAAAGGCUGCUUUGGGCUACAGUUGGAAGGGAGCAGAGAAAGACCUAUGAGAAGCUGCGACAAGUGUGGGAAUACAGUUCCUGAAUCUACUGAAAUGCUUGUGGGACACAUUCCAUGUUCAUGUUCUCCACAGUGCAGAAGCAGGAGAUGAAAUUCCCAUGUGAAAGAUGUCCUCGUGUACCAUAAGCAAAGUUAUCAUUCUCAUCAUCCAGGAUGCGAAGCUGGGGGCAAGGGAAAACUGUACAAACAAACCUUGUUAAACUAACUCUUAUCCUCCUCAGCACUUCUCUACCAAAUUAACUACCCUAGCCCAACCCCCACUGCCUUGUCACAUUUUUAUAAUUUACUGCUCUUUGUCCAAGUCAAAAUGUAAGUAUUCAGUUCUGACUACAUCUUUGGGUCUUCAUUUCCUCAUGAAGGCUCCUAUACUACAUAAAACUUACACCAAAUAAAUCUAUAUCCUUU
rnacentral:lncRNA from 13 species